rnacentral:lncRNA from 1 species
AUUUUUACGUUUUAGUGCAUUUGCAUAUACAUUGAAUAAUUUUUAAUAUUAUUUAAUCAAAUUUUAAUAAACGAUCGGGCUAUUAUGAUUAUAUUGUUGAUUGUCGACAGUCAACAGUCAAAGUCAACAUCCACCCUAGCUGAACGUGGAUCCUGGAUUCACACCUGAUUGAGGGUCUUGAAUUUCAAAACACCUUUAUAUCUUAAACAUCUAUAUCCAACACCCAAACUAUUUUGUCCUCUUCCACCUAAGGUUUUUAGUUGUCCUACGUUCAUCCAUAUGCAUUGUCAUAAUAGAGGAAAGAUGGAUCCAAGAGCUCUUAGACGUGUCUUACAAGGUUAUUCACCUACCAAAAAGGUAACAGGUAUUAUCACCCUCCAAACAAAAUACUUUUUUGUAUGUAAGUAAUACCUUUUUCAAGAACAACUCUUUUUUCACCAAAAACUUCUCUACAAGAGGAAAAUGAAAAGCACAAAGAUCAAAUUUGAAAUGUACUGAUUAUUGUUCAAUCUUCUAGUCACGAGUCUCCAAUAUUCUUUCUGUGCAAUCUUCUUUGGAUCAUGAGUAUUGUGUCAUUUAACUUCCCCAUGAGUCUCAUAUUGUUCAAGCAUAUGAUCAUAACUCUAUUUCUCACUUUUCUCCAUUGGAUCCUAUCAUUCCAUUUGAGUGUGUACAAAAUAGAACUAAAUCUCACUGAAGGAAGAACAAGUGAUGACUUUCUCAACAAAUGAGCAAGAAAAAUUUCUAGAAAAUUCCAGGUAAUUCUUCUUCUAUCCUAACAUACCAAGAAAUCUUAAUUUAAUAAAUAUUCUGAUCUUCAUAUUCCGAUUGUUCAUAAGAAAGGUGUUAGGAGUUCUACUUUGCAUUUUAUUUCGAAAUUGUUUCGCGUCAAAUAAUCCCGUUCCUAUAGUGUCUUUAAUGCUAAUCUGUCUUUUUGUAAUUCUCUUCCAAAGUACUCCACAGGAAGCAACGACUAUUCCAAGACGGAAGUGGGUUAUAAAAGAGGCAACAAGGGCGUUGCAAAAGAGUGGUACAUGACAACUAGUUGAUCUUAUGCCCAAAAGGAAAUGGGUGGGAUCUAAAUGGAUGUUUACUCUUAAACACAAAGCUGAUGGGACAGUUGAAAGAUAUAUGGCAAGACUCAUAAGUAAAUGAUUUAUAUAGGCUAGUGAAAUUGCUCCUAGAAUACAUUAGCUCUAGUAGAAAAAAUGAGGGUAAACAUUGCCUAAGCCGUGUGAUUCGAAAUUUAUAAUGUAUUCUCCAUUGAAAGUUAAUAUAGAUGUAGUUUAGUAAUUGGUGCUCCACACUCAUGAUAUUUAUGCCCAAUAAUUCAUAAUUUAUAAUGAGUAUUUUAAAACGUUUUAAUGUGUAUUUUGAUGUUGUGUAUAGAUUGACGAAAUCGAAAGAAAUAGGCAAAAGUUGGCGAAUUGGAUGAAAGGACCAAAUUGUAAGAGAUCCAAAGUCGGGGACUAAAGCGCAAAUAAUCAAAAGUUGUGUCGAACCUCAUGAUGAAGAUCCGAGAGUGUUGGGAGUCAAUUGGAUGAAGAAAGAUGUCAAAGGGAUCAAAUUUAGUCAAAAUAUGGUCACAAAUUAAUUUCCAACUGAAAAGCUAUGCUCCAGAGUUUCAGUCUCACUUUGAUACUAGCAAAGUUGUAGUCCUCUGGGUUAUCUUUCCAACACAUUUUGAAUUACCUCAUUCGGACAUCAGACAAGAAAGUUA